UCACCCAAAAACACAUUAAGAAUAAGGUUAAAACAAAUGACAUGACAUACUUAAUAAUGCAUAGUACUAUUCAGAGUAAUCCUAUCCUCAACCGCUGUACACCAACUUCGUCUAUCCAACACACCAAACAGGGUUGCUAUGUACCCAUCCAACUAGAACACCAAAAUUUGUAGUCGUAAGCCAUCAAAAUAUGCAGAUAAGCUGCCAGAUAUAUAUCGUGAAAAUACUACCAGAAACAGAUAUCACAGGUUACCUGCCAAAUCAGAGUUGCGGGAAAACAGCCAGAAUCGUAGAUCAUAGUCUGCCAAAACUUCCUCCAAGUCAAACAUAUCCCAAAUCCCAAUGCACAUGCAGAUGUCCUGACAUACUAAGCAUACUCAAAUCAUACAUGUCCAUAUGCAUAUUAAACAGAUCGGUAACAUGCUAAUGGUACAUAUAGUUUAACAAAUCAGAAACAAGUUAUUGGCAAGUUCGGCCCUCGCAAAUAAAACAAGCAAGUAUCACUUUCAACAACACGUUGAAACAUACAUGCAAUCAGCUAACUCAAAUCAAGCAUACUCACCUUCAAUCACGACACCCAACUUACCUACUCGGAUUCAGCCAUAACCGAAACACACCCAUAGCCAAUCGACUAACACCAAAUUUAACAAUUAAGGGAAUACUUACUUUCAGCCAGCACCAGAAAAAAAAAACUCAGUCACAACCGAACGAGUUUAAUUAAAACACCGCAACAUUUGAUUAACUUCUACUCUCACAAAUCAAGUAGGGUUAAAACAUACACCUAAUUGUUUUUGAGGUGUCGGCACUACAACAACAAUCCGCGCUCUGCCCAUGACAUCAAACCUUAACCAAUUGGCAUCCAUAAUAGAAAAUCAGCCUAAGGCAUUCAGCCCUUGCUCCCUGAGAGCAUUCGACCAAAGCAAAAAUUAACACCUGCCAGCCCCUUGACUAGGCUUUCAACUACUUACCCUAAGGAGUAGAGGUUUCCAAGGCACUUAAUUCGCAGGAGGGGUAUGCGCCUCACGAUCCUCACCUUAAUAGAACCAAAAACGAUUAGACCAUCACUAUUCAGCCAACAACAACCAACAAACCCCUCAAAUAAAACCGGAAACAAGCUUUUUUUAAAACAAAUGGAUUACACUUACGCAAAAUUAUGAUAUUAUACUGAAACUCCAAAUCACACACAACCAGUAACGAGACCAGAGGGUUAGCUACGGCACUAGGAAGGAUCAAAGUCUGGACGGCGGCAACACAGUAGGUAGGGAUUGCAAAAGAUGAAAUCAAGAGGGUGUUAACGUGAAAUUAUGGAAACAAAUGAGUAAAAAGAAAGAAGAUAAAGAAAGGAGGGAAAAAUAGAGAGAAUUCAACAAAAGAGGAGGUUACAGCAACAAAAGUGGAAAACAAAGAAAAGUGGGGAAAUGGGGGAGAGGGGGGCGACACUAGGAGGAUUUUUAGGAGAUAAGUCCUCAAAAUUUUAAAAAAUAAACUAAUUAAAUCCUACCUAAUCUGAUUCCGUUUUUAUCUCAAUCAGGUUGCCUAGAGUUUGAGUUUGACCAACAUGGGUGGCACAGCAGGGAAGAAAUAAUAAUAAUAAACAAUCAUUUCACUUAAGCACAAACGAGAUUUGAAUUUGAGUUGCAGAAGGAAAAGGAGAAUGCUUAACCAUGGGGCUGUUGCCCACACUUGUUAAUAAACUUAUGAAAACUAGAGAUAAUCUAAGCGUCACAAGCUAGAUAUUGGGAGAAAAAUAAUAAAAAAAAUUACGGGAAAGAAGUCGAAC
rnacentral:lncRNA from 1 species